GACACCCUCCAGUAGACCAGGUUGCUCCAAGCCCCGUCUAACCUGGCCUUGAACAGGUCACCUUGAUCAGUCACAUCCUCAGGUGCAAAUUCACAGAUACUCCAGAAAACUUCGUUUUCCAUGACCUCAACAAAACCUUGCUGGUUUCUACCAACUCCCAUCAGUUUCUACUAAGGCAGCAUCCUGCUCAGCCAUAUGUCCCAGUGGGACAUCUCUUCAGAGCCACUUGUCACUACUCCUUGCACACAGGCAAGCAUCCCAGGCUGCCAGAUUGGACUUGACUAUUUAGCUUCAGGAAGGUGGGCACCUGGCCUUGUUUUUCCAUGAAGAUGCUUUGCUGUUGGAAGUGUGAUUUCUUGGACAGACCUCACAGCACUGUAGCUGCACAAAGCUCUCCUCACAUGCUGCAUCAGCAAGGUCAAGCCACUGGGAAAAUUCUUGUUCAUAUUAUUAUGUUGGUCCUUUACCGACAGCUCACAUCAGAAACCUGAUGCUUUCACUGGAGUUUGACACCAUUUGCUUCCUACUGCUUGCCUAUCCUUGUGAAAAAUUGCCGUGUUUUGCUCCAGAAGUGGCUGCAUUCCAGUGGAAGGUGAAGUGCUCCUGCAUGUGGAUUCCUGGACUUUGUUCAAUAAACAUAAAACUUUAA